AAUAAACAUGAGUCAAGAAAGACCAUCAAAAUCCAAAAAAAAGACAGGCGCAACAUACAUAAAAGUUGGAACUAUGGCAUCUUUGGCAAACCAAAUAAGGAGUUCGUUUGGCCAAAAAAUAUACUAUUCCUGCUAGACAAUGAAAUAAAGAGCGCCCGAAUAUGAUUGAAGAGAAUCUGCUACUGCCGCAAUAUCCAGGAGUAAUAACACAGGUACAAUCUAUAUCAAGUACUCAUGCAACACAAGUAGUAGAGGAACAAGUUCAAGUGGAUUCUACAACUCCUAUUGCAGAUGAAAAAUGUGAAGAACCCAGGACCUUCUGUUCAAACAAGAAAAAGAGGUAACUCCUUACAUAUUGGAACUCUGAAAAAUUCCAGAUAUGUAUAUUUCUUUCUUCUUUCUU